UCACUUAAUAAAUCUAUACUAUUAAACGAGAAGACCUCAUUUUGGGUGUCGCUUCUCCUCCUUCCACAAUAAAUUAAUCAUCAUGCCUCUGUGUCCUAUAGGUAACAUGUAUAGUCGCAUUUGUCAUCCAUUCUUAUGAUCAUUCAGUUUGGGUUAUUUUGGGAUAAAAACGAAAAAGAAUGCGUCCGGAUAUUUUCCCGUCAUUGGACAAAACUUUAAGUCAGAUUAGUCUUCCGGUUUGUGUUUUUCUGUACUUUGAACAUACAAAGACUAUGAAUAAAGUAUAUAAAUUUGCUUUGUGCUAUCAUUUUGAGUUCUAGCAUGUAUCAUCCUUGCUUAACGUGUUUCAGUUUGGGUUAUUUAGGGAGGAAAACGAAAAUGAAUAAUAUUUGCUAUUUACUAUCAAUUAGUUUACAGUGGCGGAUCCAGAACAUGAGGGAGGGGGCGCUGACUGACCUAAACGGGGGGGGGGGGGCGUUCCUCUCAUGCUUCAGUGAUUCCCCAUAUAAUCAACAAUUUUUUUUCAACGAAAUGGGGGGCAGGGUCCCAGCCCCC
rnacentral:lncRNA from 1 species